rnacentral:rRNA from 1 species
CCUACGGGUGGCAGCAGUGGGGAAUAUUGCACAAUGGGGGAAACCCUGAUGCAGCGACGCCGCGUGAGUGAAGAAGUAUUUCGGUAUGUAAAGCUCUAUCAGCAGGGAAGAAAAUGACGGUACCUGAGGAAGAAGCCCCGGCUAACGACGUGCCAGCAGCCGCGGUAAUACGUAGGGGGCAAGCGUGAUCCGGAUUUACUGGGUGUAAAGGGAGCGUAGACGGCAGCACCAGUCUGGAGUGAAAUGCCGGGGCUUAACCCCGGAACUGCUUUGGAAACUGUGCAGCUAGAGUGCAGGAGAGGUAAGUGGCCUUCCUCGUGUAGCGGUGAACUGCGUAGAUAUUAGGAGGAACACCAGUGGCGAAGGCGGCUUACUGGACUGUACCUGACGUUGAGGCUCGACAGCGUGGGGAGCACACAGGAUUAGAUACCCGAGUAGUC